CCCUUAGAUGUUCUGGGCCGCACACGUGCUACACUGAGUGGAUCAGCGGGUCAGGUUACGCGAGAGCGUUUCCUAAUCUUCAAAUCCGCUCGUGAUGGGGAUUGACGGUUGCAAUUUUCCGUCAUGAACGAGGAAUACCUUGUAAGCGCGGGUCAUCAUCCCGCGCUGAAUACGUCCCUGCCCUUUGUACACACCGCCCGUCGCUCCUACCGAUUGAGUGGUCCGGUGAGGCUUUGGGAUCUAAGCGAAAAGAGCGUUUCGCUCCUUUUGCUGGGAGAACUCAGUCGAACCUUAUCAUUUAGAGGAAGGAGAAGUCGUAACA
rnacentral:rRNA from 1 species